rnacentral:rRNA from 1 species
UGGGGAAUAUUGCACAAUGGGCGCAAGCCUGAUGCAGCAACGCCGCGUGAACGAUGAAGGUCUUCGGAUCGUAAAGUUCUGUUGCAGGGGAAGAUAAUGACGGUACCCUGUGAGGAAGCCCCGGCUAACUACGUGCCAGCAGCCGCGGUAAUACGUAGGGGGCUAGCGUUAUCCGGAUUUACUGGGCGUAAAGGGUGCGUAGGUGGUCUUUCAAGUCGGUGGUUAAAGGCUACGGCUCAACCGUAGUUAGCCUCCGAAACUGGAAGACUUGAGUGCAGGAGAGGAAAGUGGAAUUCCCAGUGUAGCGGUGAAAUGCGUAGAUAUUGGGAGGAACACCAGUAGCGAAGGCGGCUUUCUGGACUGCAGCUGACACUGAGGCACGAAAGCGUGGGUAGCAAACAGG